CCAGAGUUGUAGCUGAAGUCCGAGGUGUACAGGGUGAAGAGGAAGGGGGAGAGCACUGUCCCCUGUGGAGCCCCCGUGCUGCAGACCACCAUGUCCGACACACAGUUCUGAAGCCUCACAAACUGUGGUCUGUCGGUGAGGUAGUCCACGGUCCAUGCAGCUAGGUGACAGUCCACUCCCACCCUCUCGAGCUUCCCCCUGAGCAGUGAAGGCUGGAUGGUGUUGAAAGCACUGGAGAAGUCAAAAAACAUGACCCUCACAGUGCUGCCGGUGUUCUCCAAGUGGGCCAUGGACCUCUGCAGCAGGUAGAUGACUGCGUCGUCCACCCCGAUGUUCG